UACGGAGGGGGCUAGCGUUGUUCGGAAUUACUGGGCGUAAAGCGCACGUAGGCGGCUGUUCAAGUCAGAGGUGAAAGCCUGGAGCUCAACUCCAGAACUGCCUUUGAAGCUAGACAGCUAGAAUCAUGGAGAGGUGAGUGGAAUUCCGAGUGUAGAGGUGAAAUUCGUAGAUAUUCGGAAGAACACCAGUGGCGAAGGCGGCUCACUGGACAUGUAUUGACGCUGAGGUGCGAAAGCGUGGGGAGCAAACAGG
rnacentral:rRNA from 1 species